UACGUAGGGUGCGAGCGUUGUCCGGAAUUACUGGGCGUAAAGAGUUCGUAGGCGGUUUGUCGCGUCGUUCGUGAAAACUUGGGGCUUAACUCCAAGCGUGCGGGCGAUACGGGCAGACUUGAGUACUACAGGGGAGACUGGAAUUCCUGGUGUAGCGGUGAAAUGCGCAGAUAUCAGGAAGAACACCCGUGGCGAAGGCGGCUCUCUGGAACGCAACUGACGCUGAAGACGCGAAAGCGUGGGGAGCAAACAGG
rnacentral:rRNA from 1 species